rnacentral:rRNA from 1 species
UAGCGGAAACGAGUUAACUGAACCUUCGGGGGACGUUAACGGCGUCGAGCGGCGGACGGGUGAGUAAUGCCUGGGAAAUUGCCCUGAUGUGGGGGAUAACCAUUGGAAACGAUGGCUAAUACCGCAUAAUAGCUUCGGCUCAAAGAGGGGGACCUUCGGGCCUCUCGCGUCAGGAUAUGCCCAGGUGGGAUUAGCUAGUUGGUGAGGUAAAGGCUCACCAAGGCGACGAUCCCUAGCUGGUCUGAGAGGAUGAUCAGCCACACUGGAACUGAGACACGGUCCAGACUCCUACGGGAGGCAGCAGUGGGGAAUAUUGCACAAUGGGCGCAAGCCUGAUGCAGCCAUGCCGCGUGUAUGAAGAAGGCCUUCGGGUUGUAAAGUACUUUCAGUCGUGAGGAAGGUGAUGUAGUUAAUAACUGCAUCA